CAAGUACUCCCUCCAUCUGAAAAUACUUGUCAUCAAAAUGGAUAAAAAAGAUGUAUCUAGAACUAAUAUACAUUUAGAUACAUCCCCUUUUAUUCAUUUUGAUGACAAGUAUUUCCGGACGGAGGAAGUACUAC
rfam:Triticum aestivum genome assembly, contig: Triticum_aestivum_CS42_TGACv1_scaffold_471091_6AL